GAAAGAAAGAAAGAGGGAGAGAAGAGCUUGGGAGGAAAAGAAGAAACAACAAUGAAGGGUCAUCAUCUUCACCAACAUCAUCUCAUCUUCUUCUCACCAUCUUCACCAAUCAUGAGGUAUUCCUUGCAGGUUGGAUUCCAGAGAAGCUAUCUACUGAUGUUUCAAGGAAUUCAGUUAUUCUGAUCUUCCGUUGUGGAGUUGUGUAUAAUGAAGACAUUGUACAUAUUUCUUAGAUUUUAUUUUUAGGCAUUAUUGUAUAGCAUGCCCUAUUGAUGUUUUUAGUUGGACACGCGUAUAUGAUGAUGUCAUUAUGCACUUAUGUUGUGUUAGUACCAAUUAAUAACACUUGUAUGAUAUUAUUCUAGAUAUAUAUUAUACGGGUUAUUACAAUA